CGUUUCAGUACAUUGUCCGGAACCGGGACAACAACCCACGGCUGCACGACCUGCUCUUCGGCAUGGCUGGCCCUGAGGCUCACGAGCACAUCAGCACUCCAGAAGACGCUGAGACGGCCGCUGGUGUGGCAGAGGCUGAGACGGGCAUGGAGCUUGGGGGCACAUCCCCUCCGGUCGGGGAGGCAUCAGCAG